rnacentral:lncRNA from 1 species
GGUUGACCUCAGGUCUCCCCACUAGAAGCCAGAGGUAGGGGGAUCGGGGGUAGGUUGACCUCAGGUCUCCCCACUAGAAGCCAGAGGUAGGGGGAUGGGGGUAUGUUGACCUCAGGUCUCCCCACUAGAAGACAGAGGUAGGGGGAGCGGGGGUAGGUUGACCUCAGGUCUCCCCACUAGAAGCCAGAGGUAGGGGGAGCGAGGGUAGGUUGACCUCAGGUCUCCCCACUGGAAGCCAGAGGUAGGGGGAGCGGAGUAUGUUGACCUCAGGUCUCCCCACUAGUAGCCAGAGGUAGGGGGAUGGGGGUAGGUUGACCUCAGGUCUCCCCACUAGAAGCCAGAGGUAGGGGGAGCGGGAGUAGGUUGACCUCAGGUCUCCCCACUGGAAGCCAGAGGUAAGGAAAGCGGGGGUAUGUUGACAUCAGGUCUCCCCACUGGAAGCCAGAGGUAGGGGGAUGGGGGGUAGGUUGACCUCAGGUCUCCCCACUAGAAGCCAGAGGUAGGGGGAUCGGGGGUAGGUUGACCUCAGGUCUCCCCACUGGAAGACAGAGGUAGGGGGAGCGAGGGUAGGUUGACCUCAGGUCUCCCCACUGGAAGCCAGAGGUAGGGGGAUGGGGGUAUGUUGACCUCAGGUCUCCCCACUAGAAGCCAGAGGUAGGGGGAUGGGGGUAGGUUGACCUAAGGUUUCCCCACUGGAAGCCAGAGGUAGGGGGAGCGGGGGUAGGUUGACCUCAGGUCUCCCCACUAGAAGCCAGAGGAAGGGGGAUGGGGGUAGGUUGACCUCAGGUCUCCCCACUGGAAGCCAGAGGUAGGGGGAGCGGGGGUAGGUUGACCUCAAGUCUCCCCACUGGAAGACAGAGGUAGGGGGAGCGGGGGUAGGUUGACCUCAGGUCUCCCCACUGGAAGACAGAGGUAGGGGGAGCGAGGGUAGGUUGACCUCAGGUCUCCCCACUGGAAGCCAGAGGUAGGUGGAUGGGGGUAUGUUGACCUCAGGUCUCCCCACUAGAAGCCAGAGGUAGGGGGAUGGGGGUAGGUUGACC